AUACGGAGGGGGCUAGCGUUGUUCGGAAUUACUGGGCGUAAAGCGCGCGUAGGCGGGCUGGUCAGUUGGUGGUGAAAUCCCAGGGCUUAACCCUGGAACUGCCUCUAAUACUGCCAGUCUUGAGUUCGGGAGAGGUGAGUGGAAUUCCUAGUGUAGAGGUGAAAUUCGUAGAUAUUAGGAAGAACACCAGUGGCGAAGGCGGCUCACUGGCCCGAUACUGACGCUGAGGCGCGAAAGCGUGGGGAGCAAACAGGAUUAGAAACCCCGGUAGUCC
rnacentral:rRNA from 1 species